CCUACGGGCUGCAGCAGUGGGGAAUAUUGCACAAUGGGCGCAAGCCUGAUGCAGCCAUGCCGCGUGUAUGAAGAAGGCCUUCGGGUUGUAAAGUACUUUCAGCGAGGAGGAAGGCGUUAAGGUUAAUAACCAUAGCGAUUGACGUUACUCGCAGAAGAAGCACCGGCUAACUCCGUGCCAGCAGCCGCGGUAAUACGGAGGGUGCAAGCGUUAGUCGGAAUUACUGGGCGUAAAGCGCACGCAGGCGGUCUGUUAAGUCAGAUGUGAAAUCCCCGGGCUCAACCUGGGAACUGCAUUUGAAACUGGCAGGCUUGAGUCUUGUAGAGGGGGGUAGAAUUCCAGGUGUAGCGGUGAAGUGCGUAGAGAUCCGGAGGAAUACCGGUGGCGAAGGCGGCCCCCUGGACAAAUACUGACGCUCAGGUGCGAAAGCGUGGGGAGCAAACAGGAUUAGAUACCCCGGUAGUC
rnacentral:rRNA from 1 species